UAACGAAACCCCUCCCAGUGUGAAUUGGACAUCCUAUUAAAUUUGAAUAAAAUUUAAAAUGUCAUGAUAGGGCCCUUAUUGUAAAUGACUGAGCCUCAAUAAUGAAGCCUGUUUUGCAUAUAUUAGAGAGUCCUGCCUGUGAUGGUGAGGAGGAACCUGUGGAGAGAAAGGAGCAGGAGAUGAGCCUGGCUGAGCAAACAGAACUUCCUGUCCCUGUGGAAAUGAGCACUGAGUCCAGCACCCCAACUCUGCCUGAACUGGACAAUGAUGACUUGGAGGACAAAGUGCAAAUUGAAAACACAGAGGAAGGAGAUGUCCAAGGAUAUUUGGCAGAGGACGAACACCUGUCUGCAUUUGUAAGACUGGAUGACUGCAAUGAGGCAUCAGGAGAUUACACCUGUGUCUAUUAUUAUUACUACCAUUUGAUUAGUUAUUUUAUUAUUUUAUUUUGGAUUAUUAUUG